rnacentral:rRNA from 1 species
UGGGGGAUAUUGCACAAUGGGCGAAAGCCUGAUGCAGCGACGCCGCGUGGGGGAUGAAGGCCUUCGGGUUGUAAACUUCUUUUGCUCUGAACAAGGCAUGCUAAUGGUGUGUUGAGUGUAGGGGUUGAUUAGCGCCGGCUAACUACGUGCCAGCAGCCGCGGUAAUACGUAGGGCGCGAGCGUUGUCCGGAAUUAUUGGGCGUAAAGGGCUUGUAGGUGGCUGGUUGCGUCUGUCGUGAAAGCUCAUGGCUUAACUGUGGGUUUGCGGUGGGUACGGGCUGGCUUGAGUGCAGUAGGGGAGGCUGGAAUUCCUGGUGUAGCGGUGGAAUGCGCAGAUAUCAGGAGGAAUACCGGUGGCGAAGGCGGGUCUCUGGGCUGUUACUGACACUGAGGAGCGAAAGCAUGGGGAGCGAACAGG